rnacentral:rRNA from 1 species
UACGGGGGAGGUAAGCGUUGUUCGGAAUUACUGGGCGUAAAGGGCUCGUAGGCGGCCAACUAAGUCAGACGUGAAAUCCCUCAGCUUAACUGGGGAACUGCGUCUGAUACUGGAUGGCUUGGAUUUGGGAGAGGAAUGCGGAAUUCCAGGUGUAGCGGUGAAAUGCGUAGAUAUCUGGAGGAACACCGGUGGCGAAGGCGGCAUUCUGGACCAAUAUUGACGCUGAGGAGCGAAAGCCAGGGGAGCAAACGGG